UGGGGAAUUUUGGACAAUGGGCGAAAGCCUGAUCCAGCAAUGCCGCGUGUGUGAAGAAGGCCUUCGGGUUGUAAAGCACUUUUGUCCGGAAAGAAAUCCUUGGCUCUAAUACAGUCGGGGGAUGACGGUACCGGAAGAAUAAGCACCGGCUAACUACGUGCCAGCAGCCGCGGUAAUACGUAGGGUGCAAGCGUUAAUCGGAAUUACUGGGGCGUAAAGCGUGCGCAGGCGGUUUGCUAAGACCGAUGUGAAAUCCCCGGGCUCAACCUGGGAACUGCAUUGGUGACUGGCAGGCUAGAGUAUGGCAGAGGGGGGUAGAAUUCCACGUGUAGCAGUGAAAUGCGUAGAGAUGUGGAGGAAUACCGAUGGCGAAGGCAGCCCCCUGGGCCAAUACUGACGCUCAUGCACGAAAGCGUGGGGAGCAAACAGGAUUAGAUACCCUGGUAGUCCAGCGCCCUAAAACGAUGUCAACUAGUUGUUGGGGAUUCAUUUCCUUAGUGACGUAGCU
rnacentral:rRNA from 1 species